GACGAACGCUGGCGGCGUGCCUAAUACAUGCAAGUCGAACGCUGAAGAGAGGAGCUUGCUCUUCUUGGAUGAGUUGCGAACGGGUGAGUAACGCGUAGGUAACCUGCCUUGUAGCGGGGGAUAACUAUUGGAAACGAUAGCUAAUACCGCAUAACAAUGGAUGACACAUGUCAUUUAUUUGAAAGGGGCAAUUGCUCCACUACAAGAUGGACCUGCGUUGUAUUAGCUAGUAGGUGAGGUAACGGCUCACCUAGGCGACGAUACAUAGCCGACCUGAGAGGGUGAUCGGCCCCCCUGGGACUGAGACACGGCCCAGACUCCUACGGGAGGCAGCAGUAGGGAAUCUUCGGCAAUGGGGGCAACCCUGACCGGGCAACGCCGCGUGAGUGAAGAAGGUUUUCGGAUCGUAAAGCUCUGUUGUAAGUCAAGAACGAGUGUGAGAGUGGAAAGUUCACACUGUGACGGUAGCUUACCAGAAAGAGACGGCUAACUACGUG
rnacentral:rRNA from 1 species